rnacentral:rRNA from 1 species
UGAGGGAAAGGCGAAAAGAACCCCGGCGAGGGGAGUGAAAAAGAACCUGAAACCGUGUACGUACAAGCAGUGGGAGCCUCUUUAUGGGGUGACUGCGUACCUUUUGUAUAAUGGGUCAGCGACUUAUAUUCUGUAGCAAGGUUAACCGUAUAGGGGAGCCGAAGGGAAACCGAGUCUUAACUGGGCGUUAAGUUGCAGGGUAUAGACCCGAAACCCGGUGAUCUAGCCAUGGGCAGGUUGAAGGUUGGGUAACACUAACUGGAGGACCGAACCGACUAAUGUUGAAAAAUUAGCGGAUGACUUGUGGCUGGGGGUGAAAGGCCAAUCAAACCGGGAGAUAGCUGGUUCUCCCCGAAAGCUAUUUAGGUAGCGCCUCGUGAAUUCAUCUUCGGGGGUAGAGCACUGUUUCGGCUAGGGGGUCAUCCCGACUUACCAACCCGAUGCAAACUGCGAAUACCGAAGAAUGUUAUCACGGGAGACACACGGCGGGUGCUAACGUCCGUCGUGAAGAGGGAAACAACCCAGACCGCCAGCUAAGGUCCCAAAGUCAUGGUUAAGUGGGAAACGAUGUGGGAAGGCACAGACAGCCAGGAUGUUGGCUUAGAAGCAGCCAUCAUUUAAAGAAAGCGUAAUAGCUCACUGGUCGAGUCGGCCUGCGCGGAAGAUGUAACGGGGCUAAACCAUGCACCGAAGCUGCGGCAGCGACACUAUGUGUUGUUGGGUAGGGGAGCGUUCUGUAAGCCGUUGAAGGUGUAUCGUGAGGUAUGCUGGAGGUAUCAGAAGUGCGAAUGCUGACAUAAGUAACGAUAAUGCGGGUGAAAAACCCGCACGCCGGAAGACCAAGGGUUCCUGUCCAACGUUAAUCGGGGCAGGGUGAGUCGACCCCUAAGGCGAGGCCGAAAGGCGUAGUCGAUGGGAAACAGGUUAAUAUUCCUGUACUUGGUGUUACUGCGAAGGGGGGACGGAGAAGGCUAUGUUAGCCGGGCGACGGUUGUCCCGGUUUAAGCAUGUAGGCGGAGGUUCCAGGUAAAUCCGGUACCUUUUUAACGCUGAGGUGUGAUGACGAGGCACUACGGUGCUGAAGUAACAAAUGCCCUGCUUCCAGGAAAAGCCUCUAAGCAUCAGGUAACACGAAAUCGUACCCCAAACCGACACAGGUGGUCAGGUAGAGAAUACCAAGGCGCUUGAGAGAACUCGGGUGAAGGAACUAGGCAAAAUGGUGCCGUAACUUCGGGAGAAGGCACGCUGAUAUGUAGGUGAAGUGAUUUACUCAUGGAGCUGAAAUCAGUCGAAGAUACCAGCUGGCUGCAACUGUUUAUUAAAAACACAGCACUGUGCAAACACGAAAGUGGACGUAUACGGUGUGACGCCUGCCCGGUGCCGGAAGGUUAAUUGAUGGGGUUAUCCGUAAGGAGAAGCUCUUGAUCGAAGCCCCGGUAAACGGCGGCCGUAACUAUAACGGUCCUAAGGUAGCGAAAUUCCUUGUCGGGUAAGUUCCGACCUGCACGAAUGGCGUAAUGAUGGCCAGGCUGUCUCCACCCGAGACUCAGUGAAAUUGAACUCGCUGUGAAGAUGCAGUGUACCCGCGGCAAGACGGAAAGACCCCGUGAACCUUUACUAUAGCUUGACACUGAACACUGGUCCUUGAUGUGUAGGAUAGGUGGGAGGCUUUGAAGUGUGGACGCCAGUCUGCAUGGAGCCAUCCUUGAAAUACCACCCUUUAAUGGCUGGUGUUCUAACGUGGACCCGU